rnacentral:rRNA from 1 species
AUUGAACGCUGGCGGCAUGCUUUACACAUGCAAGUCGAACGGUAACAGGGAGCCUGCUCCGCUGACGAGUGGCGAACGGGUGAGUAAUGCGUCGGAACGUGCCGAGUAGUGGGGGAUAACGCAUCGAAAGGUGUGCUAAUACCGCAUACGUACUGAGGUAGAAAGUGGGGGACCUUCGGGCCUCACGCUAUUCGAGCGGCCGACGUCUGAUUAGCUAGUUGGUGAGGUAAAGGCUCACCAAGGCGACGAUCAGUAGCGGGUCUGAGAGGAUGAUCCGCCAGACUGGGACUGAGACACGGCCCAGACUCCUACGGGAGGCAGCAGUGGGGAAUUUUGGACAAUGGGCGCAAGCCUGAUCCAGCAAUGCCGCGUGUCUGAAGAAGGCCUUCGGGUUGUAAAGGACUUUUGUCCGGGAGCAAAUGCUGGUGGCUAACAUCCACCGGAGCUGAGAGUACCGGAAGAAUAAGCACCGGCUAACUACGUGCCAGCAGCCGCGGUAACAC